UUAGAUUAAUAACUGGAAAGGCAUCUUAUUAGAGCAAGAACUAUGGAGAAAAACGAGAAUAACACAGACUAUGCAGGCAAAAAGCAAUGUGAAACAUGGGAUAGAAAACUGAGAAAAGAUCGGAACAGUAAAUAUAGUACUUAUAUAUCCGCCCAUCACCGUGUCUUGCCCGUCCCUCAAUAUCAUAUAAUUCUCUCGCGCAAAAUCAAAAUCCUGCUUCUGUAUGCCCAAAAUGGCAGGUAAUAUUAAAGUACCCUACUGAUUCUUGUAAUGGUUUGAAACUGCUUGUGCUUUUUAUUGAGUUGAUCAACUGUUUUUCUGUCUACACUUGUGCCCUGAAUUUUGUCGAUCUUGAUAAAUAGGAAACAGAUAGUUAGUCUAAUUUAGUAAAUGUAUGGUUCAAUAAUAGUUUAGUUUCUGCAUAAGUGGAGAUCCAACAGACGACAUCGAUAUGGUGUAUUACCGCUAGUAGAAUGAAUAAGUGUGAAGAAGAAAAGAAAAAUUAAAUGGAAAAAUAUAAAUAUUUGGCACUGAGUUGGCAUGCCACAUGGCGUUCAUCUCACACACUUGUUUUCCACAAAAGAGGGAUAUAUUUGCAUACUUUGAUAACGGCCGGGGCAUAAUUGACCCCAUAGUUUAACUAAGGACAAACUUAGCCAAUUUAUGAAAGUAAAGGGAUAUUUUUUAUCCUUUUCCCUUAAUUCAUAUUUGAUGCAUCAUAUCUUGAAAAUGAUUUUUAUUUGAUCACCCAUCAGGUGAUGUUGAUGAAGCAGUUUAUGUUGGCCGAUAGUCAUUUAAUUGGUAAUUAUGUCGGCCGAAUGACCAGUUUAGGGAGUAAUGAUAAGUGUACUAUUUUUUGCAUUAGAAGUUAUAAAUCGAUGGAUAUUUUGUCUAAUUUUACCUUCAUUCUAUAGGUAGAUAGAUUUCCCUUCAUUGUAAGGCAUCUUAUAAGGAACUUCUCUCUUUUUUUUACUUACACAGUAUGUUAAUGCCAUUUGAAUCUAGAGCAAGCUGUUCAUGGGCAAUUCCAGCUAUUUGAGAAUACAGUUGGUUUGCGAGCCUUUGUCAUGGAUGAGUGGCAGACAAGGGCUGGAUUCGACAAUACAGUGUUUCCACUGUUGCUAAUUCUUUCGAUGAAGUUCACUGUUGUAAAUUCUUCAUUAAGUUGAGCUGUUCUUUGCAACAUAUUCCAAAUGAAUUUCUGGAUUGAGACUUCCAGGUUUGACAACGUAGUCUGCUCUCUUUGCAAGUUGCACCCCUAAAGAAGGAGUAUAAAUUUGAGAGUGGAAAUUAAGAUAACUUUUCAAAAGAAGUUAUAACAUCCUUUUCAAAAGAAGUUACAACAUCCUAACCAUCGUCAAGAAAUCCAGCAGAUAAAUAAGAUAUUGCUAACUUGAUGAGAAAUCCCAUAGUGACAAAUAAUGACAUAUUUUAAGUUUCAUGUUGUACCCGCCGGAAAUAACACAUUAUAACAACCAUCAAUGUGAAAGAAGGUACUAGGCCACUCUAUUUUUCCAGGAAAAGAAUAAGAGGACUGACUAGUACUAAUAGCUUCAAUUAAAUUGAUACAAGUUGCAGAGUACCAUAUCUAUAGAACAUAUGAAUCCUUGAUCUGGACAUUUCGACCUGUGUAUUCACAGUACUUGAAGUGUUAUGAUUCUCCCCAAUCCUUCUAAUCUGCUCUUUCUCCAUUAUCGUCCUGAGGAAGCAAAUCGAGGCUUAGUUGGUUCAUCAUGCGAGAGAGAGUGAUGAGCUGUAUACCUAACUGUUACAUCUCAGUAACAGCUUUAGGGAACGCUAACAUACCUCAAUGUAGCUUCUGAAAUCAGAAGAAGAUUCGAUGUGCCCCUCAUUCAGAUAUGCCUGAGCACUAUCUUCAAUGUCGUCCAACCUGAAAUGAUUUUCUAUUAGCGAUUCAGUAUCUUAAUUAUAUAUAGCGAUUUUCAUUUCCUGUCACAAACCCAUUAUAUAUAUUCUAUUAGAUAUGUCACUUUUCAAUUCAUUCAUGUUAAUAUGUGAUGUGGAAAAUGCUUGGUCAAGCUGGAAGAACAAAAUUAUUCAACUUAAACAUUGAUAAUCAGGUGUCAAAAUGCAGAAUGCAUUUCAACAUCACAAUCAGCAGACAGCAGAAUAGAAAGAAGAUUGUCCAGGAUAACAGUAUUACCUGUAGAUGUAAUUUACCAUCAUGCCUCCACUUUGAGUAAGGCCCUUUUGUGA
rnacentral:lncRNA from 1 species